rnacentral:rRNA from 1 species
AUUGAACGCUGGCGGCAUGCUUUACACAUGCAAGUCGGACGGCAGCACAGAGAAGCUUGCUUCUUGGGUGGCGAGUGGCGAACGGGUGAGUAACAUAUCGGAACGUACCGGGCAGUGGGGGAUAACUAAUCGAAAGAUUAGCUAAUACCGCAUAUCUUCUGAGGAAGAAAGCAGGGGACCAUUUGGCCUUGCGCUGUUUGAGCGGCCGAUAUCUGAUUAGCUAGUUGGUGGGGUAAAGGCCUACCAAGGCGACGAUCAGUAGCGGGUCUGAGAGGAUGAUCCGCCACACUGGGACUGAGACACGGCCCAGACUCCUACGGGAGGCAGCAGUGGGGAAUUUUGGACAAUGGGCGCAAGCCUGAUCCAGCCAUGCCGCGUGUCUGAAGAAGGCCUUCGGGUUGUAAAGGACUUUUGUCAGGGAAGAAAAGGGCGGGGUUAAUACCCCUGUCUGA